UACGUAGGGUGCAGGCGUUAAUCGGAAUUACUGGGCGUAAAGCGUGCGCAGGCGGUUUGCUAAGACAGGUGUGAAAUCCCCGGGCUUAACCUGGGAACUGCGCUUGUAACUGGCAAGCUAGAGUGUGGCAGAGGGGGGGUGGAAUUCCACGUGUAGCAGUGAAAUGCGUAGAGAUCGGGAGGAACACCUGUGGCGAAGGCGGCCCCCUGGGCCGGCCCUGACACUGAGACGCGAAGGCGUGGGGAGCGAACGGG
rnacentral:rRNA from 1 species